rnacentral:rRNA from 1 species
GACGAACGCUGGCGGCGUGCUUAACACAUGCAAGUCGAACGGAAAGGCCCUGCUUGCAGGGUACUCGAGUGGCGAACGGGUGAGUAACACGUGGGUGAUCUGCCCUGCACUUCGGGAUAAGCUUGGGAAACUGGGUCUAAUACCGGAUAGGAGCCAUCUUUAGUGUGGUGGUUGGAAAGUUUUUUCGGUGUAGGAUGAGCUCGCGGCCUAUCAGCUUGUUGGUGGGGUAAUGGCCUACCAAGGCGGCGACGGGUAGCCGGCCUGAGAGGGUGUACGGCCACAUUGGGACCGAGAUACGGCCCAGACUCCUACGGGAGGCAGCAGUGGGGAAUAUUGCACAAUGGGCGCAAGCCUGAUGCAGCGACGCCGCGUGGGGGAUGAAGGCCUUCGGGUUGUAAACUCCUUUCGCUAGGGACGAAGCUUUUUUGUGACGGUACCUAGAUAAGAAGCACCGGCUAACUACGUG